rnacentral:rRNA from 1 species
UACAGAGGUCUCAAGCGUUGUUCGGAUUCAGUUGGGCGUAAAGGGUGCGUAGGUGGCGCCGUAAGUGGGGUGUGAAAUCCCGGGGCUUAACCCCGGGACUGCAUUCCAUACUGCGGUGCUUGAGGACUGGAGAGGAGACUGGAAUUUACGGUGUAGCAGUGAAAUGCGUAGAGAUCGUAAGGAAGACCAGUGGCGAAGGCGGGUCUCGUGGACAGUUCCUGACACUGAGGCACGAAGGCCAGGGGAGCAAACGGG